rnacentral:rRNA from 1 species
CAGUCGCCGCGGUAAUACGGAGAGUGCAAGCGUUAAUCGGAAUUACUGGGCGUAAAGCGUGCGUAGGCGGUUCGUUAAGUCUGUUGUGAAAGCCCCGGGCUCAACCUGGGAAUGGCAAUGGACACUGGCGAGCUAGAGUGUGUCAGAGGAUGGUGGAAUUCCCGGUGUAGCGGUGAAAUGCGUAGAGAUCGGGAGGAACAUCAGUGGCGAAGGCGGCCAUCUGGGACAACACUGACGCUGAGGCUCGAAAGCGUGGGGAGCAAACAGGAUUAGAUACCCGUGUAGUCCCUGUCUCUUAUAC